UACGAAGGGGGCUAGCGUUGUUCGGAAUUACUGGGCGUAAAGCGCGCGCAGGCGGUCCUUCAAGUCAGGGGUGAAAGCCCAGGGCUCAACCCUGGAAUGGCCUUUGAGACUAGAGGACUUGGGUACGGGGAGAGGUGAGUGGAAUUCCGAGUGUAGAGGUGAAAUUCGUAGAUAUUCGGAAAGAACACCAGUGGCGAAGGCGGCUCACUGGCCCGUUACCGACGCUCAGGCGCGACAGCGUGGGGAGCAAACAGG
rnacentral:rRNA from 1 species